GACGAACGCUGGCGGCGUGCUUAACACAUGCAAGUCGAACGGAAAGGCCCCCACUUUUUUGGUGGGGGUGCUCGAGUGGCGAACGGGUGAGUAACACGUGGGUGAUCUGCCCUGUACUUCGGGAUAAGCUUGGGAAACUGGGUCUAAUACCGGAUAGGACCAUGGUUUAGUGUCUCAUGGUGGAAAAAUUAUUGUUUUGGUGCAGGAUGAGCUCGCGGCCUAUCAGCUUGUUGGUGGGGUAAUGGCCUACCAAGGCGUCGACGGGUAGCCGGCCUGAGAGGGGGGACGGCCACAUUGGGACUGGGAUACGGCCCAGACUCCUACGGGAGGCAGCAGUGGGGAAUAUUGCACAAUGGGCGCAAGCCUGAUGCAGCGACGCCGCGUGGGGGAUGACGGCCUUCGGGUUGUAAACUCCUUUCGUUAGGGACGAAGCCGCACCUUUUUUGGGUGUGGUGACGGUACCUUUGUUAAGAAGCACCGGCUAACUACGU
rnacentral:rRNA from 1 species